GGAGAAAUGGCAGAGCGGUCGAAUGCGGCGGUCUUGAAAACCGUUGUCCCGAUACCUCGGGACCGGGGGUUCGAAUCCCUCUUUCUCCG
rnacentral:tRNA from 1 species